AGAGUUAAAUAGUACGUGAAAUUGUUGAAAGGGAAACGGUUGAAGUCAGUCAUGCUGGCAGGAAUCAAUCUCAAGUUAAAAUCUGAGGUGCACUUCCUUGCUUGGCAGGUUAGCAUCGAUUUUAGACGUCAUAAAAUGAUUGGGGGAAGGUAACUCCUUUUGGGAGUGUUAUAGCCCUUAGUUAAUGUGAUGUUCGGGAUCGAGGAUUGCAACGGAUACCCAUUAGGGCUAGCCGCCUAGCCUCUGAUAUGAUGUUGGGUCAUAGACAGCACGCUGACUGUGAUCUGAUUAUCUUUCAAAAGGUUAGAGUGAACAUAAAUUCGUUAAGGAUGCUGACGUAAUGGCUUUAAACGA
rnacentral:misc_RNA from 1 species